AAUGUUGCUCAAUUUAAAUGUGCAAAAAAUUUAAUUUUCUAAUUGGGUGUGUUGGUUUGACGUUAAGAGUUUAGAAUAAAAAAAUGUAGGUUUCAAUGCUUAAGAACUUAAAAAUUCUAGCAUAGUUUCGAUGUCAUUUUGCUGUGAAUAUAAGAAGUUAAAAAUUUUAGAAUUUAAGAACUUAGAAAUUCUAGCUGUUUAGAACAAAAAACCCAGGUUUCAAUGCUUAAGAACAAAGAAAUUCUAGCAUGAUUUCGAUGUCAUUUUGACCGAGAGUUUAAGAGCAUAGCUAGUUAGACGUGCGUUUGUGGCAUAUUCCAUUGUGAAAAAAACACAUUAUAUAUAAAGACAAGAAUCACAAAUUGCUCUAUUCAUAAAAUGCAUCAUGGUGAAAAAAUUUAGAAGUAAAAACCAUAAAAUUUUAACUUUAAACAUAUGUAAAAGAAUAAGAGAAUUAAUAGAAGGAAAGUGAGUUAUUUUGAAUGCGAAGAUUAUUUGGAUUUUUUUGUUGGCAGAGGAGAUUGAGGAGGUAUAGUGUUUUUAUUUUGCUCCAUCCCCUAUGAUUGGGAUUCAAGAAAAAUUUAUAUUUAUAUUUGAUGAAGCAACUUUUUUGUGUAUGGUAUUGAUUACUAUUCAUAUGGUUUUUUGACAAAUGUUUGUCCACAUGAUUGAUACUUUGAUGUGUUAGUGCUUUCAAUGAAGGAUUUAUCAACCAAGGUUAAUCAAUAUCCACUUUGCUUUUCAUGUUUAAAAAUCAUGGAAUGAUUGGUUGGGAGUUUAUUUUCUGUUGAAUCUUUGGAUAGUUAAUUCUGAAAAUACGGGCAUCAUGAUAAAACUGGUUUUUAUUCGAGUAGUACCUCGUUGAAGGUUGUGAAUCCAGAACAAGGUAUUUACUUUAAAAGGGAAAGUAGCCCAUGAUUGAAUUCUUAAUGGAACUUUAUAAUCUAUGUAUAGACUAUUUGUGCACUUCGACUGAGUGUGUCUUUGAUCUUAAUCUUGGUAGUGCUCCCUUGCUUGUUACUUAAGUCCUUGAUGAUGUGGGAGAAGAUAGUACCAAUAUUUAACAGUAAUUGUUACUGAAAGCAGAUCAAAAUGUUCUUAAGUAACAGUAAUUGUUACUUAAGUCCUUGAUGAUGUGUGGUUAUAUUCUAUGCUCUUAAUGAUAUGAAAUUAUGUUCUUACUGUGUCUGCGAAGUCAUUUAAAUAAUAUUUUGCUUCAAUAGAGCAACUGAAAGCAGAUCAAAAUGUUUUGAAACUGGCUGAAGAUCAAAAGAAACAAAAGGAACUCCAUGCUAAAAUCAUUCAGAUUGAAAAACAAUUGGAUAUGAAACAAAAGCUGGAAUUAUACCUAGAUUAAUGAAUAUAAUCCUAGUGGGCGAUAUGUAACCUCCGAAUUAUGGAACUACAAAACUGGAAAAAGAGAAACUUUGAAGGAAGGAGUACAAUUUUUGUUGAACACAUGGAAACGCAAGAAAGGAAUGUUGCGAAGGUUUGUAUACAAUUUUGUUACUCUAUAUUCAUGUUACUGAAAUUUACCUAAAACUGGUGGAAAAAAAAGAAAAGAAAUCUAUGACCAAUUAUUGUGUCUUACCCCUUUCCAUAUGAAUACUGCUACUGUUUUAAUAACAAUUUCAUGUUACAAUGGAUGGUUGAUGUUGAUGGCGCAAAUAUAAUAACUUAUGCAUGGCAGCUGGUUUGCACACAUCCAUAUUUGUAGAGCUGUGAACUCAUGGUUAAUGUAUGUUUAAGUGAUCUAUGGAUAUGUUAAACUAGUUAGUUUCACUAUUUCACUAGACAGAUGGUAAUUUUCAAGACUCAAAACUGCUUUUGCUCUAGAGUGAGUGACAGUCUUUGGUAUUAUCUCUAGCAUGGAAGACACAUAUUUUGAUAAGAAACUUGUAUGACAAUAUAUUACUAGCCUUUUAAUUAUCAAGUUUCUUUCUUCUUC